rnacentral:rRNA from 1 species
GGAAAAGAAACCAACAGGGAUUGCCCUAGUAACGGCGAGUGAAGCGGCAACAGCUCAAAUUUGAAAUCUGGCGCAAGCCCGAGUUGUAAUUUGUAGAGGAUGCUUCUGGGUAGCGGCCGGUCUAAGUUCCUUGGAACAGGACGUCACAGAGGGUGAGAAUCCCGUAUGUGAUCGGCCCGCGCCCUCUACGUAGCUCCUUCGACGAGUCGAGUUGUUUGGGAAUGCAGCUCUAAAUGGGAGGUAAAUUUCUUCUAAAGCUAAAUACCGGCCAGAGACCGAUAGCGCACAAGUAGAGUGAUCGAAAGAUGAAAAGCACUUUGGAAAGAGAGUUAAACAGCACGUGAAAUUGUUGAAAGGGAAGCGCUUGCAACCAGACUUGACGGCGGUGUUCCCCCGGGCUUCUGCCCGGGUUAUUCACCGUCUUCAGGCCAUCAUCGUCUGGGGCCGCCGGAGAAACCGUCAGGAAUGUGGCUCCCUCGGGAGUGUUAUAGCCUGUCGACAUGCGGCGUGCCCCGGGCGAGGUCCGCGCUUAGGCAAGGAUGAUGGCGUAAUGGUUGUCAGCGGCCCGUCUUGAAACACGGACCAAGGAGUCUAACAUCUAUGCGAGUGUUCGGGUGUCAAACCCCUACGCGUAAUGAAAGUGAACGGAGGUGGGAGCUUCGGCGCACCAUCGACCGAUCCUGAUGUCCUCGGAUGGAUUUGAGUAAGAGCAUAGCUGUUGGGACCCGAAAGAUGGUGAACUAUGCCUGAAUAGGGUGAAGCCAGAGGAAACUCUGGUGGAGGCUCGCAGCGGUUCUGACGUGCAAAUCGAUCGUCAAAUUUGGGUAUAGGGGCGAAAGACUAAUCGAACCA